GCAUCCCCAGCAGACUGUCGAUGCCAUGCUGCUCCCCCAGGCUUCGGCCAGAUCCAGAUCACGGGCAAGCGUGAGCUCCCUGUACCCAGGGAGGCCCUGUCCUCCGUGCUGUUGGUGUGCCGAGCACACCCCUGGCGCAGGGCCCUUGCAUGCACGCCGUCAGGAGCGCCUCCCCAGCAAGACGCACGGCUCACAUCUCCACGUUACUCUCGGGAGGAUCCCCCCCCCAACUACACUGCCUGAAACAGACCCCCUUCCUGGGCUUUUCGCCCUCACCCUCCUUCACUUCCUUUUUGCCACGUAUCACUGCCCACCCGGAUUUGAGACGUUCUCCCUUCCUAGAGCACGAGUUCAGGGGCGAGGAGCCUGGCCUUGUUUAUUCUCCCUGCAUCCCUGGCCUGGGAUCAAUGCCUGCCCGGGAGAAGCCUCGGAUGUAUUUGCCGACUGAACAAGCAGUAACAUUCGUAGCUGAGACGAGGUGCAGCAGGGACAACUCCCUGCUGUCUUAGAGCAGCAUCUAAACCACUGUCCUCGAAAUGUGGUCCCUGGGCCCAGCAACAGCAGCUGCAUCUCCUGUGAACAGUGCGAAAUGCAGGUUCUCGGGCCCCUCUGCAGAGCUGCUGAUCAGACCCUCCCAGGGCAGUGCCGGCCGAUCUCUGCACCAAUAAGCCCUCACAUGAUGCGGCAAGCUGGAAGCUCGCUGGCCUAACAAAGCGCUACACAGCCUAACAAAGCGCUGCACAGCGGAGUCAGCACCCCCCAGGACUGAUCCAGGGCUGCAGGAGGGCCGCAGCUCAGAUGAGCAAGGGCUUCCUGGAGGAGGUGUCAUAGCAGGAGUCAGACAGGUAGAGAGGGGGGAGGAAGGAUUCUAAGCAAGAGGAUGACUGUGCUGAGGCCUAGAAGAGAGAGCACUGAAUCUCAUCUUAGGAAAGAGGGGCUCACAGGCUGUCCACCUCCAUCCCCGCCCCCCGUACCCUCUACCACGGCCCAGGUCUCCUGUUUGAAAUACGCUGUCUUCAAAAAUGUUCUAGAUAAUGAAUAAUUCAUGUGUUUCCUACUAUUUAUUAAUCAAUAUAGAGUUCCAAUCAGAGUUUCUAAUUAGCAUGCAUUGUCCAGACUUCCUGCUCUGAAUUAAUAAUGACAGUAGCUCCCAUUUGCCUGGACUGACUCUGGGCCAGUGCGGUUAAAGGCUUUACCUGGGCGGUCUCGUUCCAUUGCUGCCAGGAAGCUCAGUGGGCACUCACCACCCCCGUUUUACUGAAGAGGAAACGGACACCCAAGAGGGGUGAAGUCAGCACAGGAGGCACAAAACUGGAAAUGAUCUAACCCGGGUCAGUCUCCUGCAGUGUGGGCUGGAUUCAGAUGCUUUCCUGUUUCUCAAGGGGUGACAUUCCAGUCUCAGGGAGGAUCCCAGCCUGUCGGCACGUACAGUCCAUCCUGGGCAAGCGCGUAAUCCCAGGUUCGCAUUUGGGACUACUCAGGGGUGCCCGUUCUAUCUCACGUGCUCCAUAGGCUUCCAGGACUCCAGGCCAGGGUCACUGAGUCAGCCCACCCUGUCUCCCCUCCCGACUCCUCCCUCCACCUGCCAGACAGAUUAGCAAGUGGAGGCCCAGGGCGGGAAGUGCAACCACCUGCCAGGGGCCCCUCCAGGCGUGCCCUGUUGACUCUAGAAAAGCUCUCCCUUGUCCUUAGUCCACUCUCCCAGCUCCUGCCCUUCCUCUCCCUCCAAACCUUCCUCCCUUGCUUUCGCCCUUCUCAGCCAUCUGAGCCUGGCUCUGUUCCAGGCUCUGGGUGCUGGGGACCCAGGGACGAAUAGGCUCUGGCGGGUCCUCCCCGUUCUCCCCGUGUCUCGCAGGUGAAGCGUGGUGGUGCUGCCACCUCCUGCACUGCGAAGCUCCCGCCACCACCAAGACAAUUUCGAGCAAAUGUCGUCAGCAGCGACACCGCUGUGCCUCGCCCACCGGCUCUGCAGGAUGAACAAGCAGGACGGCCUCCCCCUCCUCGCCCCUCCGCCUCCUUCAUCGCUCCCUCCCUUCCCUCUGUUCCGAAGACAGGCAAACUGCAUGCCCCAGGGCGCGGAUGUCUAGGGCGUACUCGCUGCUUCUCCAAAGAACCAUCAGUAACCGGCCUGCUGUACCCGUUUCUCUCCCUGCCCUCCUGCCACUGGCGACUCAAGGCUAAUGGAUUUCCUCUCCUCCAUACCCCAGUUUUACAGCCAGGCUUCUCCAUCUGCUCGGUAGGCCAGUUCUGUCCGCCUGCGUUUGCCUUCGUAAAUGAGCUCGAGUAGCACUUUCGUGUCUGUGUCCUAGGCAUACAGACCACAGUCAGGCCUUGUGUCUGCCCUGGGGAAGCUCCCAGCCUGGCGCGGGAAGGAAGCGCUGCUAGUUCCAUUCUCUGGGAAAGGUCUGUUGACAAGGUAGUUGAAUCGUCACGCGCUGGCCUGGCCUGCACGCAGGGCAUAUUUAUUACCCUGUGAUGAGUACAGAGCAAACCCAGGGACCUCUGUGGCUUUUCCACCUCUAAAAGGAAUCUUGGGGAGAAGUCUGUAAUAGCCAGGGGAGACAGUCAUGAUGUAGUAGGUGCUCAUUAAAAAGAAAUUAGUGGUAGAGAAAUGAAAUGUAAACUUCAACCUUUGCCUUCAAUCUAAAUCCCUGUUAACUAAGGUGUAAAUUCCUAUCUAAAUGGUACCUAGAUUCAUAGAUCCGUGUAUGUGUGCAUUUUUAUAAACGAGUAUAUAUGGAGAGAGUGUAAGAGCGAUAUUAAAAUACAUAUGUUAUAAC